rnacentral:misc_RNA from 1 species
UCAAAUGAAAAACAUUAAAUGCUUUCACUUCUUUAUAUUUCUUUCUUCUUAAACAAACUGACUGGAAUUUUUGGAUUCUUUUGAAAGUUUACGACUUAACAAAUUACAUUACGACUAUGAUCUCAAUGUAACCCAGUGUUCAUCAAAUUAAGAACUAGCAUUGAACAGCUCAAUUUAAAGUUUACUACUAUCAGUGUUCGUGACAGAAGUUUUAUAAUUUUGAAUCUCACAAAUAAAACAGGCCAAGACAAAUUAGCCAUUGUGGAGGACCUUUUGAAGGAACUUACUCGCAUUUGCGUUACCUGGUAAGGAAAACCGCAAAAAUCUCUCAAGGUAAAGCUAAAAGAAAGGGGAUUUUAUUCCAUGAUUGGUCUACUACAGAGGAUAAUUUGCGUCAGCUUCAAGGAAAGUUUGAGCUGGGAACGCAUCGAUCAACCAUCGCUGGAUUCGAACCCGAAGCAUCUCAUUCAGAAGCUAGCUCCUGAGCCACUGUGGCUCAUUGUCUGUUGUAUUGAACCAAAGACGCUCUACAAUUCGUCACAAUGCAACAAUCAUUAUUAAAUUAAAUGAGAUGCCGACAACAACCUAUUUAUAUAGACCGAAAUUUGAGAGUGUUGAGUUAUGGAGCAACAUAGGGGGUUACAUCGGAAUAUGACUCGGGAUAUCUCUCAUCGCUUUGUUUCAAUUUUUUGAAACAGCGACUGGCAUCCUUGUUCUUCUUCUUCAGAAAUUUCAUGUUUCAGUCAGAAGAUUUGUUGUGCAAAUUUUAAAACGUUGAAUUCUCUGUGUAUUGUAAGAUGAAAAUUUAUAAAUGUCUUUAAAAAUAAGUUACAAUUUCCAAAACUGGAUGAGCUUUUUUUGCGACGCUAAAUAAAGUUCUUUUCCUUCUCUAGAAUGUGUUGGAGAAUAUUCAAUUUUCUGUUUUCUUUCAUUCUUUUUAAACAAUUGUAGCACGUGCGUUUCGUUUUACAGUUUGCUUCGGCUACAGUCUAUCAACGCCUUCAUUAUAUGUAUUUUUUGACUACAUGUCAAAAUGAAUGUUAAAGCAAGAAAAAUACGAAAACCUACCGAAAUCUAUAGAAUUACUAUUGACGCAGACAAGUCU